GCCCCCACCUAAGUACGGUCACCCGCAUCGUGUCCCUGGGUGCCCCGUGUGUGCCGGCCCCUGCGCCCAGCUCCUCCUGUGCGUCUGGUCUCCACCACGGGCCCCAUGGCGUUGGUUAGGAUCGUUAUUCCCAUUUCACAGUGGGGAAGCUGAGGCACCGGGGAUUAAGAAGUUGCACACAGUGAGUUGCGAAGCCAAGUUUGGGGCUGGUAACCUCUUCCCUCUGAAGUCCCUCUGUUAUCCAUCCCCAAAGCUGCUGCCUGCCUGUCUGUAGGGGGUACAUUGCAGAUAGUGUUAGAGCUUUACCAAGAGAGGUGGACCCCCUGCCUGCCUUGCUUCCCCUCCUUACCUUCCUUAGACGGGUGACUCCUUUGGCUCUCCUGACCGUCCACCCCACGUGGAAGGGCUGGAAUCUCGUGGAAAAGUGAGCAGAGGACAUUCAGUGUGAAGGGGGCAGAGGGGCAGGAAGCAGGGGAAGAGUCAGUCAGUCAGCGGCCGGGAGGGCCGGGCUGAACCACAAAGAACGCACCUAUGUACCAUCAGCUCUCGUCACUUGCCAUACAAAGUUCUGUUCUUACGAAGCCACGGGAACAAUGAAUACUGAACCCCUGAAACACAGUUAGGUUCCUGCCAGCUUCUGGUCCCGUCUAUCAGCCAACCAAUGCACAGCCUUCUUUUAUACGUGGUUCUCAUUAAAACCAUUUUAUUUAACAUGUAUUAUUGAUUCAUCGACACUGAAUCCACGGCCACCAGCGGUGCGGUACAACACCUGCCUGAAUGAGGCUCAUGUAACACGAGGAUUUUUCUCUGCAGGGCGUGUCACAGCCUGUGCCUAGCAGUGAGCCUGCGCUCCAGCAUUGCUCUCGGGGGCCAUUUUCAACAGCGAAAUCCCCAACAAAGAAGACAAAAAUAUGGAAAGUGGCACUGAACAGACCAUGAAACAAGAAGGCAGAGCAGGACGCCUCUCGGUCCCAUGGAUCAGGCGAUUCACGGGUUCCACCCCUUUGUCACAUGACCACGAGAGGAGCUGCAAGCACUGAUUUAUGGACCCAAAUAAAUCUUAGCAGAGAUCCCCAAGGAGCGCCUCGGGCUGCCAGAUCCAUGAUUUCAUGACUUCUUAGAACAGCCGGAUCCAUGAUUGCAAGUCAGGAGCUUAGGAAUGAGGACUGCUGCGGUUCUGGAGGUCUGAGCCAGUCAGGAUCUCUCUGUCAGAGGCACAGGCCGAGUGGGGAACAUGGAGCUACCAUCAGGAAAUCCACUACUGUGGCCCAGAAUCGGCCACAAACUGGGGGGUUCUAGGCAAAUCACUUCACCUCUCUGAGCACCAGCUUUCUCCAUUAUAUUGUGGACAACAGGUCCUUCCACUGUCAUCUCCAGGAUUGUCUUCAUACUCUGCUUGUAUAAUAGAGCAACACCUUCCCCAUCUAGAACUCAGCUGUAGCAGUCUCUGUGGGUCUAACCACAGCCAGAAAAGAAAAGGCCUCUGAACAUCCACCUGACGUCAGAUUUAAGCAUAUCGCAUACGAGCAAACACUUAGGUCUCGCUCGACUAUUGACUCUUUCUCUGCACAUAGUUCUAGUUUUCAAGAGUAACUUAGAGCUGUAAAUUUGAAAGGAAAAGAAAGCCUGCUAAGAAAAGAGAUAUGAACAAAGUCACUACAGAAAAACCGUAAAAGGCACAAAAGAAGUGAAAAAGACACCAUAGUCAGGGACCGUGUUGUUCCCCCUCAGAAGGCUCGAGAAAAUCACUAUGUCGUGGCACCGUCCUGUGUUCACGAAUCCAGAUUAUUUAUAAAUGCAUUUGUUCAUUAGCUUCUGUUUACGGAUGUAUGGAAGUACAUGUAACAUUUUAGAAAGACAUUCACUCACAAAAGGGUUCAAUUUAUGAAAAAGAAAACAAAACCAAGCAAUAUAUAUUCCUUUACCUCUUUGCUCUCAGCCUUCUGAAAAAUUCACAUCUCGAACAUCACCUCUGGCAACUCUUGGAGACCAACGUCUUAUUCCAGCAUUGAUCAAUUUGCCCCAAAAACAACAACAACAACAACAAAUAAGAGUGCAAAGAACUCUGUACGCACUAUUGUUUAACAUUGUGAUAACAGUUUUCUUCCAAGUCCUCAAGAUCUUUAUUUCCUGGUGCCACAUCCCCUGUCACUUACCUGCCUGUUUACUCGGCUUCCUACGUGCCCCUUGCUGUGCCGGCCUGGCAAUACUUGGGUUGGAAAUGCCUCCAAGAAAUACUUGAAAGUCUCUUUUCACAUAUAAGUUCAACAACAACAACAAAAAGCAUUGUUUUGCAAAACACACUUAACUUUGGGAUGGUGUUGAUAGCCAAUUAGGCAUUUUUCUCCCUUCUUUACCAAGACUCAGGCCAAAACGUUCUAUGGAUGAGGAUGAAGAACCAGUUUCCUUCAGAUCCCGCCAUCCACUAUGGGUCAGCUUCAAACCUAAGGAAAACUUCAGUGCAAUGCAGUGAAAUGCAGUGUAUAUUAGCCGACGACCUACUUCGUGUCAGGCAUGCGCUAGGUCCUGAGAACACGAUGGUGUGAUAAGACAUUGCCUCUUCCCCGAAGAAGCAAAUGAGAUACGGUGGGAUACGUGUUCCCAGAGGUGUCAGAACAGGGAGCUAUAAAAGAAUUGGGUAGGAUGGCAAUUAAUUCAGUCAUGGGGGUGUUAGAGAUUUCUUAGGAGAGGUGAUAUUUCAGCUGAGAACUGAAGUUUAAGUGCAGGCACAGUAUCUUCUGGUUUAAAAUAAAAACAGGGGGGCCUGGGUGGUCCAGUUGGUUAAGCGUCCGACUCUUGAUUUCAGCUC